AUUGAACGCUGGCGGCAGGCUUAACACAUGCAAGUCGAGCGGGGGGAGGUAGCUUGCUACCUAACCUAGCGGCGGACGGGUGAGUAAUGCUUAGGAAUCUGCCUAUUAGUGGGGACAACAUUUCGAAAGGGAUGCUAAUACCGCAUACGCCCUAAGGGGGAAAGCAGGGGAUCUUCGGACCUUACGCUGAUAGAUGAGCCUAAGUCGGAUUAGCUAGUUGGUGGGGUAAAGGCCUACCAAGGCGACGAUCUGUAGCGGGUCUGAGAGGAUGAUCCGCCACACUGGGACUGGAACACGGCCCAGACUCCUACGGGAGGCAGCAGUGGGGAAUAUUGGACAAUGGGGGGAACCCUGAUCCAGCCAUGCCGCGUGUGUGAAGAAGGCCUUUUGGUUGUAAAGCACUUUAAGCGAGGAGGAGGCUACCGAGAUUAAUACUCUUGGAUAGUGGACGUUACUCGCAGAAUAAGCACCGGCUAACUCUGUGCCAGCCGCCGCGGUAACAC
rnacentral:rRNA from 1 species